UACGGAGGGAGCUAGCGUUGUUCGGAAUUACUGGGCGUAAAGCGCACGUAGGCGGCUUUUCAAGUCAGGGGUGAAAUCCCGGGGCUCAACCUCGGAACUGCCCUUGAAACUGGAAGGCUAGAAUCCUGGAGAGGCGAGUGGAACUCCGAGUGUAGAGGUGAAAUUCGUAGAUAUUCGGAGAACACCAGUGGCGAAGGCGCUCGCUGGUCAGUAUGACGCUGAGGUGCGAAAGCGUGGGGAGCAAACAGGAUUAGAUACCCCAGUAGUCCCUGAGACC
rnacentral:rRNA from 1 species